GAGAGGGAAGUGUUAACUCUCAGGGGAGCCAUAAGCCCUGCCCAAGAGUAAAGAGGACGCCUCCCCUCCUCCUCCAGGUUCCUCCUUCCGAUACUUCCCCCGGAAGCCUCUGCAAAGCCCAGUUUCCAGAACACCGGCACUGUCCUACGUAAGGCUCACCAUGCAGAGUGGAUGGAUACAGAGAGCUUCCUUCCAUCUUAUAGAUUGUGCACCUGUUUAGCGCGGCCCCAAGACUAGGGCUGUGCAUGUCACACACACGAAGACACUGGUGGACUGGGCUUUCUGAGCAGGUCUCGAUUCCGCCAGUCAACAGUCUGAAAGUUCAGGAUCUCCUGAUCAGAAGCAGGACGUCCAUAUGCAGGCUGCACUGGAGGCCACGCUUUUGAAAAGUUGAAACAAAGCACAAAGGAAGUGGUCCCCAGUCGGACCAGGUCUGGUGGUGGUACAUCUGACUAGGAGGAGAGAACAGAGAAGGAAGCUGCUCUGAGGGAGGACCAGAAGAGUAGGCACUAUGAGUCCUUGGCCCUUGCGUGCAGGCUGAAAUCAUCACUGAACGGAAACAACAAACAGUAAAGAGAUGCUAGCUGCCACGCCGCAGAGAGAGACGUAGAAGAUGCCCACCCGAGCAGGAAUCUCUGGCAGCCUUCGGGUGGAUCAGGCACAGACAGUGUUCACUCACUUCUAAUGAGCUUCAUGAUACCCAGGCAGAGUCUUCAACGCAUGUUGAUCACCAGCUAUGAGUCAAAUCAAUGGCAAAGACUCCCUCAGAGCCUUGCUCUAAUGACACAAUCCUUAGCGUCUGGAUGAAUCCUCCAUCUCCUCUAGGCUUCUCCUACUCAGGCUCCCUAGUUUGCAGAAAGAUGUGGGACCUAAGGGCGGCAGGAGGGACCUUUCUUUACACCGUUACUGAUAAAGGAAAAAUAACCCUCGGUUCCUUAAAC
ensembl:processed_transcript 4933439K11Rik RIKEN cDNA 4933439K11 gene